rnacentral:rRNA from 1 species
AUACGUAGGUGGCAAGCGUUGUCCGGAUUUACUGGGCGUAAAGAGUAUGUAGGCGGAUAUUUAAGUCAGAUGUGAAAUUCCCGGGCUUAACCUGGGAGCUGCAUUUGAUACUGGAUAUCUAGAGUGCGGGAGAGGAAAGUGGAAUUCCUAGUGUAGCGGUGAAAUGCGUAGAGAUUAGGAAGAACACCAGUGGCGAAGGCGACUUUCUGGACCGUAACUGACGCUGAGGCGCGAAAGCCAGGGGAGC